UGGGGAAUAUUGGACAAUGGGCGCAAGCCUGAUCCAGCCAUGCCGCGUGAGUGAUGAAGGCUCUAGGGUUGUAAAGCUCUUUCGCCGGGGAAGAUAAUGACGGUACCCGCAGAAUAAGCUCCGGCUAACUUCGUGCCAGCAGCCGCGGUAAUACGAAGGGAGCUAGCGUUGUUCGGAAUCACUGGGCGUAAAGCGCACGUAGGCGGAUUGUUUAGUCAGGGGUGAAAUCCCGGGGCUCAACCUCGGAACUGCCUUUGAUACUGGCAAUCUCGAGUCCGAUAGAGGUGGGUGGAAUUCCUAGUGUAGAGGUGAAAUUCGUAGAUAUUAGGAAGAACACCGGUGGCGAAGGCGGCCCACUGGAUCGGUACUGACGCUGAGGUGCGAAAGCGUGGGGAGCAAACAGGAUUAGAUACCCACGUAGUCCCUGAGCGGGCUGGCAAGGCGCAU
rnacentral:rRNA from 1 species